rnacentral:rRNA from 1 species
AUGGCUGCACGAGCGCUGACCGCUGCCGGCCGCCGGGUGGCCGGCCAGAGCCAGACCAGGCCUACGCCUUUUCUCGCCUCCUCCAGGAGCGGGGCCAGCAUGAACCACUCCUCGGCCAGCGCGCAGCGUGAGGACGAGCGCGGGGACGCCCAUGGUCCGGCGGCGGAGGCGAUGACCGGGGCGCAGGUGGAGGCCGCGCUGAACCGCAAGAACGUCGAGGUGCUCCAGGGCGAGGAGGAGCAGGUCGCCACGGUGCUGCCAGACGAGACCAUCGGCGAGGGCGCGCUGGACAGCGGCGAGGACGCAUCGUGGGUGCCCGACCAGGACACGGGCGUCUUCGUCCCUGCCGAUGACGGCCACGGCGGGGGCGCGCAUCCCGCCCCACCGCAGCACCUGUACGGAGGCGUGGGCGGGUCAGCGUCGGUGCUGGACCAGGCGGUGUUCGUCCGAGAGGAGAUGGAGGACGUGGAGAGACCGGCCAUGGACCUCACCCAUGCCAACGGCGGCAGCAACAACUAA